rnacentral:rRNA from 1 species
UCCAAGCGUUAUCCGGAAUUAUUGGGUUUAAAGGGUCCGCAGGCUGUUUGUUAAGUCAGAGGUGAAAUCCUACCGCUCAACGGUAGAACUGCCUUUGAUACUGGCAAACUUGAGUUAUUGUGAAGUAGUUAGAAUGUGUAGUGUAGCGGUGAAAUGCAUAGAUAUUACACAGAAUACCGAUUGCGAAAGCAGAUUACUAACAAUUAACUGACACUGAUGGACGAAAGCGUGGGUAGCGAACAGGAUUAGAUACCCUGGUAGUCCACGCCGUAAACGAUGGUUACUAGCUGUGUGGAUUUCGAUCUGCGUGGCUAAGCGAAAGUGAUAAGUAACCCACCUGGGGAGUACGUUCGCAAGAAUGAAACUCAAAGGAAUUGACGGGGGCCCGCACAAGCGGUGGAGCAUGUGGUUUAAUUCGAUGAUACGCGAGGAACCUUACCAGGGCUUAAAUGUAAGUUGCAUUAGCUAGAGAUAGCUAUUUCUUCGGACUACUUACAAGGUGCUGCAUGGUU